GUCAUUGUAGCAAUACAAGGCAGACGGCUCAGUAACACGUAGCCUAUCUAACCUAUGGACGGGGAUAACCACGGGAAACUGAGGAUAAACCCCGAUAGAUCAUUAUGCCUGGAACGGUUUAUGGUCCGAAUGAUUCGUCGCCGUAGGAUGAGACUGCGGCCUAUCAGCUUGUUGGUGAGGUAAUGGCCCACCAAGGCUAUUACAGGUCCGGGCUCUGAGAGGAGAAGCCCGGAGAUGGGUACUGAGACACGGACCCAGGCCCUAUGGGGCGCAGCAGGCGAGAAACCCUUGCAAUGUGCGCAAGCACGACAAGGUUAAUCCGAGUGAUUCCUGCUAAAGGAAUCUUUUGUUAGUCUUAAAAUCACUAUCGAAUAAGGGGUGGGCAAGUUCUGGUGUCAGCCGCCGCGGUAAAACCAGCACCUCAAGUGGUCAGGAGGAUUAUUGGGCCUAAAGCAUCCGUAGCCUGCUCUGUAAGUUUCCGGUUAAAUCCAUUAGCUCAACUAAUGGCCUGCCGGAAAUACUGCAGAGCUAGGAAGUGGGAGAGGUAGACGGUACUCGGUAGGAAGGGGUAAAAUCCUUUGAUCUAUUGAUGACCACCUGUGGCGAAGGCGGUCUACCAGAACACGUUCGACGGUGAGGGAUGAAAGCUGGGGGAGCAAACCGGAUUAGAUACCCGGGUAGUCCCAGCUGUAAACGAUGCAGACUCGGUGAUGCCCUGGCUUGUGGCCAGUGCAGUGCCGCAGGGAAGCCGUUAAGUUUGCCGACUGGGAAGUACGUACGCAAGUAUGAAACUUAAAGGAAUUGGCGGGGGAGCACCACAAGGGGUGAAGCCUGCGGUUC
rnacentral:rRNA from 1 species